CGCCACCCGGGCGACGUGCGCCCCGGAUCUGGUCCAGGAGGGAUAGCGUGCUAGGAGACCUGGGACACUGUCUUAGUCCUGUCCGCAGAAAGGCCACCUUCCCGCCUAGCAAGGUCCUGAGGGAGAGAAGGCACCGGGAGGCCCCUGCAGUGAGCAGUCCAGAAAAAAAACUCCAGGAGGUGGACAAGGCUGGACUUUCUCACAGUGCUUCAUGCCUGGUCCAUCUGUGUAUCAGGGAUCAGCCAUUAAAUCCAAAUUGUCCAGUCAGACCUGACAGCACAGUCCUGAAAUCCUAGCUACCCAGCUGCUGGGGCAGGAUGAUGGCAAAUCCAAGAUCAGCCUGGCCUGCACAACCUUCCCCGUUGAAGCCGGAAGCAGAAGGGAAAGGGGUGCUUUUCUUGGGGAUCUGAGGUCAUUACCCAGACAGCUUGUACCUACGAAGGUAGCAGUAAUAACCAUCCCCUGGUCUGCUACUAGACUUUCUUAGGGCCUGUCUUUAAACAAGGCAUUCCCUUCAUCUCUCAAAUGGGGAUUAUGUCUCAGCACCAGAAGCCCUGGAGGAUCCUCAAGAUGUGUACACACCACAGCCACCCUGUCUACCCCAAUAUUCAAUUCUUAUCCUUUCUAGGGAUGUUGGAAAGGCCAGUUUAAAAUUUAUUUGGUUUAUUUUCCUAAUCCCUUCUUUGUACAUGUCAAAACAUGCACAACAUCUGUUGAGAGGAAAAAAAUCACAAAGGGGGCAACAUGCAGUCCAAGGGCAAGACCCAAGGGGGAAUGCGCCCCCUCCCCCAGCUGUGCCUUGGGUGCUGAGGAGGUGAGGGAUAAGGUCUCUCAGAUGGUGUGCCUCUUGUUAUUAUUAUUGUCGUUAUUAUCUUAGCAGCUGCUUGCUGCCUACAGAAAGUCUCUGUCUUCCCCUGGGACUCUAGGGGCUGAAGGGAUGGGAUCAUCAGCAGAGACAGAACUGAACUCUUUGUGUAUCUUACACUCUGUUUAAAACAAAAAUUUAGGUGCCUAGAGAGAUGGCUCAGUGGUUCAGAGCACUGGC